GUGUCGGACGGGUGAGUAACGCGUAAAGAACUUGCCUCACAGUAUCCGGACAACAUUUGGAAACGAAUGCUAAUACCUGAUAUUAUGAUUUUAGGGCAUCCUAGGAUUAUGAAAGCUAUAUGCGCUGUGAGAGAGCUUUGCGUCCCAUUAGCUAGUUGGAGAGGUAACGGCUCACUAAGGCGAUGAUGGGUAGCCGGCCUGAGAGGGUGAUCGGCCACAAGGGGACUGAGACACGGCCCUUACUCCUACCGGAGGCCGCAGUGGGGAAUAUUGGACAAUGGACCAAGAGUCUGAUCCAGCAAUUCUGUGUGCACGAUGAAGUUUUUCGGAAUGUAAAGUGCUUUCAGUUGGGAAGAAAAAAAUGACAGUACCAACAGAAGAAGUGACGGCUAAAUACGUGCCAGCAGCCGCGGUAAUACGUAUGUCACAAGCGUUAUCCGGAUUUAUUGGGCGUAAAGCGCGUCUAGGUGGUUAUAUAAGUCUGAUGUGAAAAUGCAGGGCUCAACUCUGUAUUGCGUUGGAAACUGUGUAACUAGAGUACUGGAGAGGUAAGCGGAACUACAAGUGUAGAGGUGAAAUUCGUAGAUAUUUGUAGGAAUGCCGAUGGGGAAGCCAGCUUACUGGACAGAUACUGACGCUGAAGCGCGAAAGCGUGGGUAGC
rnacentral:rRNA from 1 species